rnacentral:lncRNA from 1 species
UAAACCGUAUGAUUUGAUAAAAAAAAAAUGACUUUUUAAUUUUAUUUUAACAACUGAAAACCAAUUUGUAAAUAUCAGAGGGCCCACUUAAUUGAAACCAUUGCCAAGCCUAAAUUAAACCGAGUCAAAAUUAUUUGGAUUGAACAAUUACCAUUUAAUAUUCACCUAAUAAUGUAUUCAAAUUAACAAAAACGAACCAUAAAAUAUAGUGUUCUAAUACUUAUUAUUUUUGUGGUCAUGUUAUAAUAAUCAAAUCAAUUUAUUUUACGACUUGGCAAUUUUGGAGGUGAUAUUCCAAAAG